rnacentral:lncRNA from 1 species
GUAAAAGCUGCAGGUCUUCAGAACUGUCUUUUGCGCUUUGACUUGACUCGAGUUGAUUUGUGAAACCUGGAAAGUUGAAAUCUUGGAUAUCUGAUCGCCUUGAAAACAACUUCUGGAUUACUGAGCUGAAGAAAAACCUUUAGAGUACAUCUACAGAAACCUUUCUGGUUGAAAACAUGGCUUCUGCUGGAUUCCCUUGUGGAGGAGCGCCUGCUGACCCGGGUCACUCGGUGGUUCUUUGCUUUUGCAGGUGGAUCUUCGUGGCCUCUGAACAACAACUGCCCCGACACUGAGAGUCCUCCCGACGACCCCGUCCUGCCUGACUACGAGGACGAGGACGCUGUGGACGGGCUUCAGGAAGCGUCUAGCACUUGGACAUUUUUUGUAGCGUCUCCUCAUCGAUCUUUCUUUAUUUCAUCCUAAGGGCCAGAGUUGCCCCAGGUAGCCCUUGCGUCUGGCAGGGCUAUCGACCCAUCGUACAGGAAGCCUUUGCGUCUGGCAGGGCGAGGAACCUUCAGCUUGGUCGUGUGUUCAAAUGAACACAAUAUUCCUUCUCGCAGCACCAGUGGCUCCUGCUGGUUGGUCCGCAAUUUGCACAGCGGGAGUUAUCUUGAAUCACCAGUGAAGCUGGCAGCACUGUGUGUCAUGGAAGGCUGUCUGCAGUCCUUUCUACAUCAACACUAAAGAUAUCACUGAACACCACUGCACUGAUAAAAGAACAAGCAGGAGAAAAGCUACAUAAUCAAAGAGAAGACAUGGCACUUUAAUUUCAUACCACCUUCACUUGCCAAUUGACAGGUAAUGCACUGGACCCCUACAAAAACAUCAAAGCACAACGUAGUUCAGCCACUCCUUAUCUACGUUCUCUUCAAAGCCACCAGACUUCAGUCACAACAGUCACUUCACCUUGCAGAACACAGGAGCUGCUAGUCUACCGCUGCCUCCAUCUGUUAGCUCAUGUUAUUGUGUAAGCAAAAGGUCUGACCCAUCCCUUUAAUAUGGCCAACAAAGGUAUGUUAACUAUAAAACAUUUCUUUGCAAUAAUUCAAAGAAUAUUUGUCUUACUUUACUCUUAUCUUCCUCCAGCACCAGAAAUCCUGAGUAACGGAGGGUAAAUAUCUGGAAAUCCUGGACUCCCUGAGAUGUCAACCAAACCACACAAAGCCAGCAUCUCACCGGUUUAUCAAUUCAAUAAAACACCCU